rnacentral:lncRNA from 1 species
UUCAUUUAAACCCAACCCAACCCCAAACCGGGUCAACCAAACCCAACCCAAUACCCUAAUCCACCCUAACCUAAAACCCUAUACACACAAUACACGCCUGCAAAAAAAUCAGGGGGAGGCUGGAAAAUUGAAGAAGCUGCGCAUUUUGCUUUCUUCUUCACGCCAAUACACAACACUAUACAUAGAUACAGAGAGAGAAGGGAGAUACGCAGAGACGCUGAAAAUUGGGGAGGGCUACGCGGCAAUGGACAGACCCUCCUCUCUUCGUGCUGAACACGAAUGACCCUCCAUCUCAAUUUUCUGAAGAGUACACACACAAGAGCACUCUAAUCCCAACCGUUUCCAGAUCUCAAACGUCCGGCUUCCAUUGCCAAUGAGCUUUACCGGGAACCGGCAGAAACAAACACGAAAAUUCCCCAAAAACCAACUCGAAAACCACACUUCUCUCAUCUCAAAACGGAACUAAAAAUCAGUUGAACAACAGCCAUCGACACCUCGAUUUUUUCUCCUUCGUACCAGCUAAAACUCACACGAAAAUUUCACUAUUUUUUUAGCUUUGAAAUCGUGCAUUGAAUCUGUGCUCGAAGUCGAGCUUUGCCGGAAAUCGGAUAGCUCGUCGUCUUUCAUUCGAGACCGUCAAUUCUAACUGAGGUUCUCGUUGAUUUUGUUGCUGCUCGUAGAGGUUAUCCGGUUGAAAGCUUUGCUCAUCGACUUUGUCGUUCUUUCUCGUUGGAUUUUGGUAUCACGAGUUGUGUAUUUGAUGCUUCUUUCCAUUGUUAUACUGUAGAAAAUUCUCCUGACAGGUAUGUGUUUUUUAGUCGAAACGCUGUAAAUAUAGCUGGAUGGUCUAUUGCACUUAAAUGUGCAACAGUUAUUUCCUUCACCACGCUGCAAAUUUCUGUAGUUAAAUUUCCUUUCCCCUAUUUCAAUUUGUCACUUAUGUGGUGAUUAUAUGCUCCUGUUUUAGCAGCUGUCCGAUUAUAUGGUGAUGUGUGAUUCGUCGAUCUAUUUUUGUCAUCCGAUUUGCUAUCUUGAUGUUUGAUGUGUUUGUAUGGGAAAAAUUAAAAACUAGAGCGCUCAGGUUAUAUUUAAGUUUUCGGAUUAGAACCGGUCAUCUUUGGCUUAUUGAUAUUGCAAUCAAUCCGUUCCUAUUGAUUGACCGUACUAGAACCACGGAACUCGGGAAUGCCUAACGCCUUCUCCCAGGUUAACAGAAUUCCUUACUCGGAUUUCUGGUUCGCGAACUGUUAAACAGAGUCAUUCUUUCCNNNNNNNNNNNNNNNNNNNNNNNNNNNNNNNNNNNNNNNNNNNNNNNNNNNNNNNNNNNNNNNNNNNNNNNNNNNNNNNNNNNNNNNNCAGAGUCAUUCUUUCCUCGAUUCGGGAUUCUAAACGGUGACUUGGGACACCAUAAAUCUCCCAAGUGGCGACUCUGAAAUUAUCUUAAAUAAUUGAAUCCUAUUUAGAUUGUCCUUAAAUUGGAAAAACUCCUUUAUCUACGCCCUUCUUCUGGUUGUGAAUAGCCAAAAGGAGGUGUGACAGCUCUGGCGACUCUGCUGAGGAACGAACCCAGAAUAUCUGGUUCAGGGUUCAAGAAUUCGAGCUUAGAAUAAUUGUUGUAUUUGGCUUUGUUAAUUAUUUGAUUUUAUAUGUCGACUUAAUGUGCCAAAUGAUGCUUAUAUCGCUUUGAUAUUAUUUGAACUGUAUAUAAACUGUUACGAAACCCUUCUCUUUUUGUCUUCGGGGAUUUGCUCGCUGGUCGAGACUUCCUAUUCUAUUUGUGCCAUUCCUUAAAAUCAAAAAGAGCCUCGGACAAGUAACAAAGCCGGACGAUCUUGCAGGUCCCCGGUACGUAGCCCCCUCCUCGACUCAAGUUGUCCGCUCGGGUACACAGCCUAGAACAAAUACCCAGGCUUAAACUUAGAAUAACAAAGCCUCAUGCCGGAUCCCUAGUAGGAACGCUUUUCUGCAUCUUGCAUUUGAUUUGGGGGACUCAACUCAGGGGUUGGGUCCGUCUAGGAUAGGUGUACCCAAAAUAACAGGCCAUCCUGGUGCAUCCUAAUGUGAUACAUGUUGCAUUUCUCCAAGGGUAUAAGGGUCAUUUGGCGGACCAAUGAUAGCUAAGGGUAAACGAAAAAAUGAAAAAAAGAGAAAAACAAUGAAAAUAAAAGCGGGUGAAGUGUGAAAAUAAAGCAAGUAGGAUUUAGUUAUGUUUUGUUAUAUCUUUUUGAAAAAAGAGACACGGGAUAUGUGAAAAAUUAAAAAAAAAAAGAGAAUAUUUCGCACUUUUUAUUAUUUCCUAAAAAUAAAAAAAAAAGAGAAAAUCCAAAAAUAGUUUACAUAUAUCAUCAUUUUUUUCAAAAAGAGACAAAAGAAAAUGUUUUCUUUAAAAGUUAGCUGUUUUUUUAUUUUUUGCUCGUAUCCAAUUUGCCCAAACUACGCAAACCUGAUUCUCGUCUUCCGGACGUGAUAUGUAGGCAAUCUACAUCAGGUUCGGUCUUUCCUUGUAAAUUGUAGGUUCUUGGCUUUGCGGGGUCAUAGCCAGAUUUUGCACUUCUAGCUACUUUUAGCCACAUAGGUUUCGAAAAUCUCAUAUUUUACGAACUACGUUUGAUCUUAUUCAUGCGGGGUCAUGAUACGUAGGAAAUAUCCACAUAGGUUAGAUUUAGAAUUUAGAAGUUGCUUGUUGGAAAUUGCGUUAAUUGAGUAGUGUCAAUGGACUCUAUUAUUGAAAUUCUUAGAGUUCAAGUUGGAAUUCUCUUUUCAAACUUCUUUUAUGCUGGUGAAAGUUCUGUUGAGAUUAGUCUUUGUUUGUUGGAGUAUUCUUUGGUAAUUUUAAUUCAAUUUAUGAAUUUUUCGUGGGCCAAUGUUUGAAAGAAAAUCUUGCAUUAAAUACUAAUUAUCUUUGUGCUAAGGAUGUGGAGUUCGAAAGCUUUUCUUGUUGAAGUGUGCCACUUUGUGAAGUUUUUGGAGUAAAUUGAUAGCUGAAAUUCUCCUAGUUUUAACUUGUUACCACUGGUUUUUAAUAAUUGUUGUUAUUGUUGAGCUUAAUAGAGGGGAUUCAGUUGGACUAAAGUAUAAGCAUGCUUGUGAUUUGGUUGAGGCUUACUCUGCCGAAACCUUAUGUCCGUUGAGAUUUAUGCGCGAGUUUAGCAGUGAUAGUUUGAAAUAUGGUUUUUACUUCUAAAAAGUUCUCUUUGUUGAAUUAAGUGCUUUUGUUACAUAAAUUUUUUGGUUAUUCUGUCUCAAUAUUGCUUUGAUUCUAAUUCUUUGUUUCUACAGUUGAGGUCGUCAUUCUGGGCUGAAAAUUUUUGUGCCUAUUGCUGCUGAAUUUAAUGCUCGAGGUGUUGCUGAAGUUUGAGUUUUGAGAAGCAGUUGAAUAGCGAACCUGCCAGUUAUUUAAAUACUUAAAUUUUGCAUUUAAAUGAAAGUUGUUGAUGUAAUACAAGUUUCCUAAGAAUUAUUUGUAUUUUCUACAAUAUUUUGUAAACCUGAAACUGGGUGUGGAUAUUAGAACUUGUUUGAAGAAUUUUGAACUCAAAUAAGAGUGUUUUGGACUGUUAUCCAAGGUUGUUGAAACAACCUUGAAGAUUUGCUCUUUUUGCACCAGUUGUGUAGUGAGUGCAAG